AACUAUAUUUUUAAGCAUAAUGUAUUACACACAUCUUAAUGCCAACUUUGGCAGACAUGUAUUUCAAAACUGUCUCACAUGCACAUAUGAAUCAAAAUGCAGUCACCCACAAGUAUCUACAACAUAGCAGCUUACAAAAUCCUCCAUGAAAUGAUAGUUUACAACAUAUAUCACUUGGGAAAGUUAAAAAACAGUACAAUCCAGUUCACACAAACAGAACAUUUAAACUAUUGAAGUUGCUAUUCAAGUUCUUGCAGCCGGCCCUCUUGAUGGAAGUUAUCAUGUCAGUGCAAAUUGUGAUGGGCAGCACCAAGUAGCCCGGUACGCAAUCAUACCUAGCAUAUUUACAACACCAUUAGAUAUUUGUAGAUAUGAAUAGAUUGUAAAAAUAAGAGAAUUGAAACAAAUAUAAAAAAUGAAUGACUCAUGCUGUCCAAAAUUCUUAAAUCUUGCACUGCUACAAGUGAGAAUAACAUAGUAUCUACUACAUACAUGUUUCAUGUAGAUCUGUAUUAAUUAAAACAACCAAGUUAUGGGUAAAAAAAUGAAAUGUCAAGUUGUGCAUAUCAUCCGAACAAGGAAAACAAAAACACUGGUCAAAGGGGGACAGUACAUACUGCAGUGCAAAAGAUUCAUUGAAUUAUCAUAUGUCCAGUCAUAUCCUUGAUGAUAAGUUAUUAAUAUAGAAGAAGGGAUAGUUAUGCGUUGUGAAAACAAACAACUACAUACUUCUACAGUUGUGUCCAGUAGUAUAUUAUUUUUCCAUCCUUGUAAGUAGGCAUGAAUCGACUUGUCAAUAUUUGGCGCAACAACACCUUUGGGUACCACCAAUUUGCAAAAAAUAGGUUACCCAACCCCAGAACCUUCCCUAUUAUAUAGAGCAUUACGAAAUUGGAUAUACCCUAAAGAACAAUAUCCACAUAUUGUUGACACUUGACAAUUGAAACUUAGACCAAAAAAGAUAUAUAGUGAAAAUAAAACCAGAAGGCUAUGAAGGAGACAGUAAUAGACCUAUCUAAGAAUGUGGACAUUUUGCCCAAGGAUGCAUGUCACUUGCAACCAUAAGAGAUCAUCAACAUACAGCUGAAGAAUUACUAUUUGACAAGAAUUAGCAUUUGACAGGAACAAUAAUAAAUAAAUUAACAAGUGGUGAUGCAAAAUUACGACCAACAGUUUCUGAGGUAAAACGAUGGCAGUGCAGCCUGGAGGAUCAACAUCAUAAGCUUCGCUUACAUGUAGCUAGGGCCACAUCAAUCUCAGCACCAACAUCCGAAGAUCCGCAGUCCCAUCAAAAUGUCCAACCUUAGGCUCCAAUCUGGGUGUUGAGAAAAUUGCAUACAAAAUCUGGGUGUCCAUGAGAUAGACCUAGGCAACGCAUCUGACAAAACUUAGCACACUGUUAAAACAACUUUUGACAGAGAAUUGACAACAUACAAGAAUUUCAUUUGAGCCCAAAGUGCAAUGACAUAUUAUUAUUUGCUGCAAACCAAGAUCGAAUAAGAACACUAAACUUUUCAAACCUGCAGAUUGUUACACUAUUUCAUUAUCUAUGUGUGCCUCUAAAUCUCUAAAGCUACAGAUUGUUACACCAUUUCAUUAUUUCAUUUUAGAGCCUCAAUAAUGUAGAAUGGAACAGCUUAUUCAGUGGUAAAUCUUGUGCCCCUCCCUCUAGCUCAGGGAGUAGCUUAUUCAGUGGUAAAACUGUGUGCCUCUCCCUCUGCCUCUCAACUUUUGUAGAUGGAAGAAAGUUACUUCUGAAUCUUGCCGUGGUAUGUUCAAUCAUAGAAGUUUCACAACACCAUAUACCAACAUAUAUUGUGAAAAUGUGCCUUGA
rnacentral:lncRNA from 1 species